rnacentral:rRNA from 1 species
CAGUCGCCGCGGUAAUACAGAGGGUGCAAGCGUUAAUCGGAAUUACUGGGCGUAAAGCGCGCGUAGGUGGUUUGUUAAGUUGGAUGUGAAAUCCCCGGGCUCAGCCUGGGAACUGCAUCCAAAACUGGCAAGCUAGAGUAUGGUAGAGGGUGGUGGAAUUUCCUGUGUAGCGGUGAAAUGCGUAGAUAUAGGAAGGAACACCAGUGGCGAAGGCGACCACCUGGACUGAUACUGACACUGAGGUGCGAAAGCGUGGGGAGCAAACAGGAUUAGAUACCCCUGUAGUCCCUGUCUCUUAUAC